AUGAACGCUGGCGGCGUGCCUAAUACAUGCAAGUCGAGCGAACAGAUGAGGAGCUUGCUCCUCUGACGUUAGCGGCGGACGGGGGAGUAACACGUGGAUAACCUACCUAUAAGACUGGGAUAACUUCGGGAAACCGGAGCUAAUACCGGAUAAUAUAUUUAACCGCAUGGUUCAAUAGUGAAAGACGGUUUUGCUGUCACUUAUAGAUGGAUCCGCGCCGCAUUAGCUAGUUGGUAAGGUAACGGCUUACCAAGGCAACGAUGCGUAGCCGACCUGAGAGGGUGAUCGGCCACACUGGAACUGAGACACGGUCCAGACUCCUACGGGAGGCAGCAGUAGGGAAUCUUCCGCAAUGGGCGAAAGCCUGACGGAGCAACGCCGCGUGAGUGAUGAAGGUCUUCGGAUCGUAAAACUCUGUUAUUAGGGAAGAACAAAUGUGUAAGUAACUAUGCACGUCUUGACGGUACCUAAUCAGAAAGCCACGGCUAACUACGUG
rnacentral:rRNA from 1 species